rnacentral:rRNA from 1 species
UGUAAGCGUAUACCAAAAUUGUUGCAGUUAAAACGCUCGUAGUCGGAAUUUGGCAGUUCCGGAUGUGUGCACGUCGUGUGCGCACUUCGCGGGGAUUGCUUUUGUGGUCUUGCGUAGGAUGAGGCACUUUUAUUAGUGAACGUCCUCACGCAACCACUUUUUACUGUGAGAAAAUCAGAGUGCUCAAAGCAGGCAUUUGCCGUGAAUGUAUUAGCAUGGAAUAAUAGAAUAGGACUUGGUUCUAUUUUGCUGGUUUGUUGGGACUGAGUAAUGAUUAAGAGGGACAGUUGGGGGCAUUUGUAUUUCGGUGCUAGAGGUGAAAUUCUUAGAUUACCGAAAGACAAACUGCUGCGAAAGCGUCUGCCAAGGAUGUUUUCAUUGA